GACGAAGGAUGCAAGCGUUAUCCGGAUUCAUUGGGUUUAAAGGGAGCGUAGGCGGUCUUGUAAGUCAGUGGUGAAAGCCUGUUGCUUAACAACAGAACUGCCAUUGAUACUGCAGGACUUGAGUACAGAUGCUGUGGGCGGAAUAUGACAUGUAGUGGUGAAAUACUUAGAGAUGUCAUAGAACACCGAUUGCGAAGGCAGCUCACAAAACUGUAACUGACGCUGAGGCUCGAAAGUGCGGGGAUCAAACAGG
rnacentral:rRNA from 1 species